AAAACUACUUCUAAGGGGAGGAGUUGGGUUACUUAUUUGAAUUUCUGAAAUAAUGGUUCAUCUUCGAGCCCUAGUUAAGAUUGGUUGCAAAAUUCUUCUCAGCUUGAGCUUAAAAAAUACCUGGUUUGAAUGUUUGUAACAGUAACAUUUAAAAUGAUUUUAUAGCACACCAAUAUGUGACUGUGUCAUAACUGCUUGUACAGUUUUAUGACAGGACAUUAUUAAGUAAACCAUGUCAUAUUAGAAUAUGGAAGUGUCUAGCUGUCUGGUAACCGGUGCCUAGCCAGUGCUCUAGCUGCGAGAUAACCAGAUGUAUCUAGCAUAUCCUUAGGUAUUUAAUUCGUCGUCUGGUUACUUGUCAUUGAUGUGAAAUGUGAAACUGUCAAUGUUUAAAAGCGUUCCAGUUAUGUUUUUGUUGUUGCUGUUUAAUCAAUUUUGUCUAAUAUAAGAUUCAAAGAUAAUGUAACGAUUAAGAGUUGCAUUUGAAGAUUUGAUUCACAGAAAGUAAAGAUAAUUGUGAUAAAAUCCGCUUUAAGCAUGCUUAUGACGUCGCAUGAGCACAAAAAUACAUUUUUAAUAUACAAAAAUAAAAUGCCAUUAGAUAUGAUCCUCGUCAAAAUAUUAUUGUUAUGUUACACUUUCAUAAUACUUUAAUAAAUAAGUAUAACUUUCUUUUUCAGUGGAAAAGGUAUUUUGAGAUGGUCUGAUUGUACUUUGGAGCUGCCUGAUUAUGUAUGAAAUCCUACAAAAGUAUUUCAACAACUUUUUCAUAAACCACUGAGAGUACAUUACUGAAUUGUAGGACCUGUCAUUGUGAGAAAGUCUGAUUGCAUUCAAGAGCUGCCAGAGCUAAAGCUAGAAAAGAAACUUUGAACAAUUUCUUCUCAUGAUCUGCCUCAUUGAUCUUCACAUGAUUGAAUUGUAAAUAAAUUUGUGUUACAGAAAUAACAUAUAGAAACAAACAACUUCAGGCUGCAGAAACUACACAUUGUUUGAGACUAUGAGAAUGUUUUAUUUUCAUAUAAAUGGAACUCAUACCAUAAAGAAAAACUUGAUUUAUUUUGUUUCUUAUAACAAGUCCUCAAAGACAUACCAAAACUACAACAGGAAAGAAAACGAGCAAAGUUGAUUCAGGAUUUAAAAUGGAAUGUUUUUAUGUGUGAAAACAGUGGUUAUUAACAGGAAUUUAAUUUUAAGGAUUUGAAUUAGGGUGUCAAGAAGGGAUUUGUGUUUAAUUCAUAACUUGGGUUAUUGACAAUGCUCUAAAAUAUAAAUAAGAUGUGUAAAUACAGGCUGUCAUACCAAACUGAAAUAAUGUCGAACUGAACAGAAUAAACAAACUAUUAUUUUAAAAAGCUGUUGUAUAAUAUAUUGCUUGUCAGUUGAUUUAUCAAACAUCACUUUGUCAGUUUUAUUAUUGCUAAUAACACUUUACAAUGUUUCAAGUACUCAUCAUGUUUAGCUAUUUUAAAAGAAUUACUGGACUUAUAUUAAAUAUGUAGUCGCCAUAUGACCUAUAAUUGUGUCGGUGCGACGUUAAAUCCAACCAAAAAAAAAUUAAAUGUGUUGUUAUUAGACUCCUUACAUUUGAAAGUGUG
rnacentral:lncRNA from 1 species